rnacentral:tRNA from 1 species
GGGAAAGUGGCUCAGUGGUAGAGUGCUUGCCUUGCAUGCAUGUGAUUCUGGGUUUGAUUCCUCAGCACCA